rnacentral:rRNA from 1 species
UGGGGAAUUUUGCGCAAUGGGGGAAACCCUGACGCAGCAACGCCGCGUGGAGGAUGAAGGUCUUUGGAUUGUAAACUCCUGUCAGCAGGGAACAAGGCCUCAGGUAACCCCUGAGGAUUGAUUGUACCUGCAGAGGAAGCCCCGGCUAACUCUGUGCCAGCAGCCGCGGUAAUACAGAGGGGGCAAGCGUUAUUCGGAAUUAUUGGGCGUAAAGGGCGCGUAGGCGGUCGGACAAGUGGAAGGUGAAAUCCCCGGGCUUAACCUGGGAACUGCCCUCCAAACUGUUUGACUUGAGUCCGGGAGAGGUGAGUGGAAUUCCCAGUGUAGCGGUGAAAUGCGUAGAUAUUGGGAGGAACACCAGUGGCGAAGGCGGCUCACUGGACCGGAACUGACGCUGAGGCGCGAAAGCGUGGGGAGCAAAC